rnacentral:rRNA from 1 species
GAUGAACGCUGGCGGCGUGCCUAAUACAUGCAAGUCGAGCGAACAGACGAGGAGCUUUCUCCUCUGACGUUAUCGGCGGACGGGUGAGUAUCACGUGGAUAACCUACCUAUAAGACUGGGAUAACUUCGGGAAACCGGAGCUAAUACCGGAUAAUAUAUUGAACCGCAUGGUUCAAUAGUGAAAGACGGUUUUGCUGUCACUUAUAGAUGGAUCCGCGCCGCAUUAGCUAGUUGGUAAGGUAACGGCUUACCAAGGCAACGAUGCGUAGCCGACCUGAGAGGGUGAUCGGCCACACUGGAACUGAGACACGGUCCAGACUCCUACGGGGGGCAGCAGUAGGGAAUCUUCCGGAAUGGGCGAAAGCCUGACGGAGCAACGCCGCGUGAGUGAUGAAGGUCUUCGGAUCGUAAAACUCUGUUAUUAGGGAAGAACAAAUGUGUAAGUAACUAUGCACGUCUUGACGGUACCUAAUCAGAAAGCCACGGCUAACUACGUG